rnacentral:tRNA from 1 species
GGGGUUGUGGCUCAGUGGUUGAGCGCUUGCCUUGCAUGCAUGAACACUGGGUUCGAUCCUCAGUACCA